UACGAAGGGGGCUAGCGUUGCUCGGAAUCACUGGGCGUGAAGGGCGCGUAGGCGGCCAUUCAAGUCAGAGGUGAAAGCCCAAGGCUCAACCUUGGAAUUGCCUUUGAUACUGUUUGGCUUGAGACCGGAAGAGGUUAGUGGAACUGCGAGUGUAGAGGUGAAAUUCGUAGAUAUCGCUUGGAACGCCAACGGUGAAAACAGGUUGCUGGGGGUGUGCUGGCGCUGAGACACGAAAGCCAGGGGAGCGAACGGG
rnacentral:rRNA from 1 species